rnacentral:rRNA from 1 species
UCGCGGCCUAUCAGCUUGUUGGUGGGGUGAUGGCCUACCAAGGCGACGACGGGUAGCCGGUCUGAGAGGGUGACCGGCCACACUGGGACUGAGACACGGCCCAGACUCCUACGGGAGGCAGCAGUGGGGAAUAUUGCACAAUGGGCGAAAGCCUGAUGCAGCGACGCCGCGUGAGGGAUGACGGCCUUCGGGUUGUAAACCUCUUUCAGCUCUGGAGAAGCCCUUUUGGGGUGACGGUAGGAGCAGAAGAAGCACCGGCUAACUACGUGCCAGCAGCCGCGGUAAUACGUAGGGUGCGAGCGUUGUCCGGAAUUAUUGGGCGUAAAGAGCUUGUAGGCGGUUUGUCGCGUCUGCUGUGAAAUCUCGGGGCUUAACCCUGAGCGUGCAGUGGGUACGGGCAGACUAGAGUGUGGUAGGGGAGACUGGAAUUCCUGGUGUAGCGGUGGAAUGCGCAGAUAUCAGGAGGAACACCGAUGGCGAAGGCAGGUCUCUGGGCCAUAACUGACGCUGAGAAGCGAAAGCGUGGGGAGCGAACAGGAUUAGAUACCCUGGUAGUCCACGCCGUAAACGUUGGGCGCUAGGUGUGGGGCUCAUUCCACGAGUUCCGUGCCGCAGCUAACGCAUUAAGCGCCCCGCCUGGGGAGUACGGA